rnacentral:rRNA from 1 species
GAUGAACGCUGGCGGCGUGCCUAAUACAUGCAAGUCGAGCGAAUGGAUUAAGAGCUUGCUCUUAUGAAGUUAGCGGCGGACGGGUGAGUAACACGUGGGUAACCUGCCCAUAAGACUGGGAUAACUCCGGGAAACCGGGGCUAAUACCGGAUAACAUUUUGAACCGCAUGGUUCGAAAUUGAAAGGCGGCUUCGGCUGUCACUUAUGGAUGGACCCGCGUCGCAUUAGCUAGUUGGUGAGGUAACGGCUCACCAAGGCAACGAUGCGUAGCCGACCUGGAAGGGUGAUCGGCCACACUGGGACUGAAACACGGCCCAGACUCCUACGGGAGGCAGCAGUAGGGAAUCAUCCGCAAUGGACGAACGUCUGACGGAGCAACGCCGCGUGAGUGAUGAGUGCUUUCGGGUCGUAAAACUCUGUUGUUAGGGAAGAACAAGUGCUAGUUGAAUAAGCUGGCACCUUGACGGUACCUAACCAGAAAGCCACGGCUAACUACGUGCCAGCCGCCGCUGUAA